CGCUAUAAAAACAGGCAGACCGGACCACACGGCAGCUGCUUCACUGACACGCCAAGAGGAAGCCUCUUCCCAAAGACUCAUCUAAGUCAAAGAAUUACACUGCUGAAAACGGCCGAACCUUUGAAAACGAGGGAAAAAUGGCAAGUGUUCCAUCAGCGGGAUGUCUGCUUGCGAAAAAUCAUUUCUACAGGACACGACUCAAUUCGGUCUCAAGCAAUUCGUCGACAAGCUCGUCCACGUGUUGUGAUCUUGGGGGAGAUCAGGAGAAGGUGUCUACUCCACAUGGUAUACACAUACCCUUUGAGAAGUGCUGGUGGCUGAAGAAGUUCCUUGUAUGUGAUGUGAUACAUCAUAAUGAGUCCGAGCAUUCAGCUGUAAAUGGUGCUAGCAGUUAGUCCGCUGUGCUGACGGAUGCAUGAAUGUGGAGUCAGGGCUGUAAACGCAAGCGAGCUGCUGACUCAAGGUCUACAUGUCUGCAACCACUGUCUCUCCAGCUGGAGGCUGGGGGAACAUUCAAUGGCACUUAAGGAAAAUGAGGUAGAAUGGUGCCCUUUGGCACAGUUGAGAAUGCACUCUGGUUGCUGGGUAUAAUGUUAACACCAUGUAAUUUAUACCAUCUAACCUUUGGUGUAGACUUUCAAACAUUUGAUCUCUAGCCACUUAUGAAUGGAUGUUUUGAAAGACCAUUUUUCUUUUCUUUUUUUUUUUUUUUUUU